rnacentral:lncRNA from 1 species
CUGAGGAUUGAGUGAAGCAAGUUGCGGCUGAGUUGAUGAAGCUUUUAGUAGCUAUCGUUAUUAAGAGUUUGUAUAACUGAGAGUUGCUCUGGAGAUGCUAUCUUGCAAUAAGAGAGCUUAUGUCGUGUACUAGUAACUUCCCUGUGAAAUGUUUGUUAGACCAUGAGUUUUCUCUGAUAAACCUGCAUGUCCUGAAACGAAAAGAUCUUGUUACUUCUCUUUUGUUAGCACUGAGCUUCUGUGAGGGCUUUAGAUUUACUUACCAAUCAGCCAUCAAUUUUAUUCUUCACAGGGUUGUCACUCGUAUUCGAAAAUACAAUUCACAGAAAUCCAUAACAUAGAGCCCACGAUUACUAUGAUAUUAAUCAUAUCAUUGACAUCACCUGCUUUCUUCCGCAAGUGCAAAUAAAGCACGCUAACAGAAAUCGAAAUAAUCAAAUCACAUCAUCUAAAUGACCGGUACCUAUUGACAGCAAUUCGAGAGUAGCAAAGCAAAUCGUCACAAUGUAGCUAACAUGGACCUUCAUAACAGUAAAUAUUGCGGUGGCAUUUAACGAAACAACAUAAAGUAGAAAACAUCAAAGCGUUAACGGUACUUCAAUCACUCCAUAAACAACAGUCUGGUCCAUGAGCAACAUGGCAUGAUUGUAGCUCAAACGGUCCGCAGCCCAAAUCACUUGCAGAGCUAAGUAAGGCCAGCUAAACUGACAGUAGACCACAUCUUUUUUAAGCCAUGAUCUUGGCCGAUCUCAUGUAAAGGCUGUCCACAACCUUCCCGACAUUUGUGAUCGUCUCGAGCGUGGCAGGGAAGAUCUCCUCGGUCUUGGUAUCCUCGAAGAUGAUGAGGCAGCCAGCGCCCUGAUCCAGAGUCCCCGCGAAUUUCUUGUCGAGGAUCAUCUGGGACAGCUUCUUCUCAACAUGGUCGAUCGGCAGCUCAAUCAUCUCUGCUAUGUGUGCAAUCUCCACCCUAGAGUAGGGCUCAAUCAACCUGCAGAGGUUCUGCUCCAGGAGGGUAUCGUAAAGCGACGAGAGGUGCCUAUGGACGAUAGGAUCUUCCUCCAGCUGGGACUUGUAGUCACGGAGAGCAGUUUCAAAGUACUUCAGAGACCUUUUGGAGUAGGCAUCGGCCACAGCUUUCAUGGCAUCAACAUCAGGACCCAGAUACUUCAGGCCAGCCUUUGAUGAGAUGAUUCCUGCAACAUCAUCGGCUUGGUUGACCAUUAUCUUGCACAGAAGCAUGUACUUCAAGCUGAAGAUGGCCUUAGGAUCCUCCAGAGAAUUGAAAGCUUCAAAUGCUUCGAAGAAGUAGCUGUAAGCAGUCUUGUAGUCCUUUUCUUCAGCAUGAAGGAUUCCACUCUGCAGAUCAAUAGUGCCCUGCUGAGAUGGUGGCACAUAAAUGGCAUUGGCUGCAGUUCUAGCAGCAGUCAGAGAAGCUUUGGCCUUUGGCAGAUUUCUCAGAGAGAAAUGGAGUUUGCUCUCCAGAAGGUCAAUGUCCACAAGAAGCAACUUGUCGUCCAGCCUCCUGACUUCCUUGAUGAGACCAGAAAGGAGCGUAAGGGCCUCGGUAUAAUCCUGAUUCUCUAACAGAAGGGCUGCCAGCCUUGCUUCCACACGCUGCCUGAGGAAGGUACGCUUCUCUGUACGGGUCCAUUCCACCAUCUCCUUGCAGAGUGAGAUCUGAAGCUCAGAAGUUCCAGGUAUCUUGGCAACAGCAUCAAUGAUGCCACGCACAAUCUUCGCAGUCUUUGCCUUCGGGAUCACAGCAAAAAAGGGCCUGAGCUGGGUCAAAAGAUUCCUGAGAUCCUCAGCUCUGUUUUCUUUUGUGAGGUAGUUUGUCAGAUUUGUAAUGGCAAGCUCUUUUACUCUCAGUGCAUCCGCUGAAGAAGAUGGGUCUUCGAGCACACGGUAGAGGAUUGAGAUGGACUCAGACGCAUCCUUGGCUUCCUGAGCCUUUGAUAUCGACUCAGUGGUAGCAGGAAGGUACGGUGAUUGCACCGAAGUAGACAUCGCCACUCCCUAGUACGAGAGUUUACUGCACAUGGUUAGAAAAUAAAACAGGGAUGGUCAAAAUGUAAAAGGAAUAAGUAAUACAGGGCAUUGCGGGAUAUGGUACGCACAUCAGCACAUAUACGAAAAGAAAGUCUACUCACAAAGUAAAUAAACAACUUCAACAGAAAACUAAUAACCAGUCGCAGUAUACAGAUGUUUGAUCAUGCCCACAAGAAAAAAAUGUAUGCGGAUGGAACCAGCAAUCAUGCACUACCCUACCUAACAAAAAAGGGGGUCUCAGGAUUUAGAAACCAAUUAUCAAAGUGAGAUAUUGUGCAUUCUGAAUCAGAUAGGCAGCUAUGCCACACUGCAAUUGAGAGCCUACUCGUUUCUGCCUAAAACAUCAAAGGACAUGGACUCAUGACAGGAAAAGAAAAAGCAAGCACAUUGUUUCAUCUUGAACGGUUGAACCAAAACCAUGGAAUUUCAUUCAAAAUCGUUAGGAGAUCAAUAUACUUUGCAUCCACGGUCAGGUCACCGCCGCCAAAUAUUUGUGACAGGCAAAGCCUCUUCAGGACUACAAGAUGACACCUAACAGGCCAAUAGCCCAAUACAAGGCACUGUGGGGGAAAAAGCUUCCUUUUUUUUUUCUAGUUUGCAGUAUCACAAAUUGACUUACACAACUAAGUUCCACAAUCGAAAGGACCGGGACACCACUCUGCAUAAAACUAAAACAGUACACAGGAGGAACACGGCACUUGAGUAACUCGGCGAAACCCGCGCGCCAGAGGUGGCUCCUCGAACUAACAGCCUAGCCAACACACCAAGCGAGAUGCCGUACUCAGAGCAGAGAAGGGGGGCACGAAUUCGAGCACAGAUUGCGCCGAAAAAAAAGAAGAAGGGGCGUCCCCCGGCUACCUGCUUCCGAAGGGUAGCACGCGCGAUUCAACGAGCAGAUGCCUCGACCGGUAGGUCAAACGUAGCAAAAGAAUCCGCAACCAACCGCGAGCGCGGGGACCCCGAUCUGAUUCUACAGCUCGCCGGGAAGAAGAGACGAACAGAUCUCGCGGGAAGAACAAACACACUGAUCCGUAGGGGGGGGCAAGCUAGGGUUCCGUUUAUACCUUGCCGACGGAGGGAGAGGAAGUCGAUCCGAGCCCGGGGGGCAGGAGGCGGCGGCCGGCGUGCUCAGGUUCGGUGGAAGGAGGAGGCGUGAGGGUUCGUUCGGCUUCUCGAUGCGGCCGGCGGGGCCUCAGUUGAGUCCGCUCAGUCGAGUUUGAGAUUAUUUUUUUUUCUCUUGCUCUAUUCUAAAGAAAAGAAAGGCUUUCUUGUUUGUCAAGAAAGAAAAAAAGAAGAAGAAGAAGAAGAAGGCUUUAUAUGGCUCAGGCCCAGUUAGGAACGGGCCAGCUUUGGGCUGCUUGCUUUUCUGGAAGCCAUCUAGGAUUAGAACAAUCAAUCAGACUCGUCUAACAGGAAGAAUAGUAGUAGGAUAGUUUUCGAUAUAUAUAAAUUUCGCGUGUUAUGUAUAAAAUUAUUAUUUCUUAAAUGCAAACAAUCACAACCAUUAUGUUGACGGGAGGACAAAAGCGGCUGUCCCGGCAACGGAGGGGCAGGGGUGCGUGGCGGGUGUAGGCGACCGGCGAGGAGCGGCACGAGGCCCCGAUAGCGGCGGCGGCGGCAGCGCGAGGCUGGUGGUACUGAAGCUCGAAGCGGUGCGGCGAGCAGGUCGUGCAAGUUGGCGGUGGCGCGCACAGACGAGCGAGCUCGAUAGUGGCUCUGCAGUGAUGGCUGGAUCUAGGGUUGACGGAAUACAAACACCAUCCAUUUCAUCGUCCCUCGUCACUCAAAUCAAACAACAAAAUUGAAAUGUUCUUGUUCCUCCAACCAAACACCAACUGCUCUCACCGUUGGACAAGACAAUCGAUCGCGGUGGAUGGCGUUGUGGUGUCCCCCACAAGGACAAGACAACGGCUCUCACCGCCCAUCUAUGCGCGUGGUCUCGGUGCACGCUCCCUCCCCCAUCAACUACGCCAACCUCUACUCAGAUGUGGGAAGGGUGGACGCCGCGCCACUGAUCGAGCCGUUCACGAAUUGGAGGCGUGCCCCACAGUGCGCGCGAUGAACAAGACGAGCUCGCCCGGCCUGAACGGCUUUGGGCCGGCGUUCUACGCGGCAUCGUGGCCUACGGUGGCGCCGGCUGUCAUGGACUUGGCUAAGGCGUUCCAGGACUGCAUUGCUGAACUCGAGCGCCUCAACCGGUCCUACGUCGUCCUGAUACCGAAGCACACUGCCCAGGAUGCCACACCCUGCUGCUCCAGACCAAUCGUGCCCAGUUCUGCAGUAUGCAGAUGAUACGCUCAUCCUACUCAGGGCGGACGUGGCUGAGCUAUCGGCGCUGAAGGAAGUGCUUGACCUAUUCUCUCUAGCUAAUGGGCUGCACAUCAACUAUCACAAAAGCACUACACCAAUGAGUGUGUCGGCCGAGAUGGCUACAUAGCUCCAGCAGAUCCUUGGCUGCCAGCUUGGGAAUUUCCCUCAAACGUACCUCGGGCUGCCACUAUCCAAUGAGAAGUUACGGCUCUCUGCUUUCAGCCCCUUGAUCGCCAAGGUUGACAAGCACCUCAGCGGCUGGAGCGUGUCCCUGCUGAACUCAACUGGGAGAGCAGUGCUGAUCAAUAGUGUGGUGGACAGCCAACUUACGUAUGCCAUGUCAGCUCUUCUACUGCCGCCUGGGAUUCUUGAUGCUCUAGAUCGGCGACGUCGACGCUUCCUGUGGUCCGGUGAGGAUCAUGUCAGUGGCGCCCAAUGUCUUGUCACGUGGGAAACCGCGUGUCAGCCAAAGGAGCAAGGGGGAAUCAGCCUCAAGGAUCUUUCCCUACAAAACAGGAGCCUCCUGCUCAAGCACCUGCACUGCCUCCAUCACCCUGAUGGCUCCUCUUAGGCCAAUUGGGUGCGCAGCCGCAUCGACAUUGCAAGCCUGCAGGGUGACGUCGAGGGCGCCCACUGGCGCAUCCUGGAAGAUCUGUUGCUGCUAUACCAAGCUCUCACCUGCUCUGCGGUGUCUGACGUCCUCUCCACAAGUUUAGGGCAUGAUCGCUGGUGUGCGAUUUGUUCCCUCUCCUUUUCUCCCAUGCCGUCAACACGGAGCAAUCAGUAACGCAAGUGCUGGCCGACGGGCUGGGCGCGCAUCUUGCUCCACGCCUGUCGUGCCGGGCCGGUGAAGAGCUGCACCAGUUAACAGCUUUGCUGGAUCGGGUCACGCUCCGGGAUGACGUGGACCAACGCCUGUCUCCUCUUCUCAGUGAUGCCUCAAGUCUACGAUCUGGUGCUGUCUACACCAAGCUCGUGCAAACGUCGGGAUCGCCACCACCCCCCUUCGUCAAGUUCGUCUGGAAGAACCGCGGGCCACCACGGGUGCAGUUCUUUGUGUGGCUUUUGGUGCAGGGCAGGAUCCAAUGCCGUGCCAACCUGGUAAUGAAAAACAUCAUCGAGGAUGCGUGGUGCGAGCUCUGUGGGCAGGUCGAAGAUUGCGACCACAUUGUCUUUCGCUGCCCCUUUGCGGCGAGUAUUUGGAGCUCCCUUGGCGCGAACACAACAAGCUCCUUUGUCCAAAGCCUAUGGACUAUUCACCGUCCGGCAAUGGUUCCUGCGCAACACUAUGACAGCUUUCUGCUCCUUCUUUGCUAGAUGCUCUGGAAACACAGGAAUGAUCUUGUGUUCCAGCGAGCUCGUCCCUCGCGCCAGCGCUUCUGGACAUCCUGCCGAGAUGAGGGUCAGCUCUGGAGCGAGCGCUUUAGGGCGUCUGACCGCGUCAUUGCUAACACUUGGUGCGCCAUUUUUGUUUCAAUGUAAACUUGAUGCUAGAAACAGUUUCUCCCUCCUCCCCUCCUUGUUUUUGCUGAACUAAACCAUGUAAAGAUGUUUGGCCAAAAAUCGCCUGUAAAAAAAAACACCAACUGGGAUUUUUGCUCAUCCUAAAAAAAGAGGAUGACCAUAUUCCGUCCUGUCCCUUCACUCCAUUCAAACACACCAUAAACUACGAAACACCGAACCCUAUCCUCACAGCCACCACCAUUAUUAGCAUACAUCCACUUCAUCCAAUAGCAACCCCAUGUUGCCCAAUGCUCGGCAUCCAGAUUGGAGGAGAUAGGAUAGUUAGAUUCAAACGAUAGCCUCAGUGAUACAAGAGAUAAUAUAGUGGCACACGUGGAGACUCCCAUAUGGGUGGACCCCCCCCCCCUAAAAAAAAUCAAACCCCCUUCUAAUAUGGGAUAUGUACAUGUGUUUCUUUUUUCAAGUAACAUUCUUACAUUUUAGAUUGAGUGUUUAUUCAAAUUGUUGGCUAUUGAUGUUUUUUCUUGAAAAGUCUUGACCCUAUAAAAUUAGAAGUGUUGUGAAUUUUAUAUCUUUGACGAAAUGUGCAGGAAGAAAUUCAAUCAGAGUCACAUCUACCAAACCUCAAUAUUUUUUUCCACUAAAGGCCUCACCCGAAUUUCAUUACUAGAACAGCAACGAAAUUACAAAGUUUGAUAGUUUUAGGUUCCAGGACUGGUGACCACCAACAGUUUCAAGCGAUGCCAUCAACAGAGUGGCACACAAAGCUUUCUAACUGAGGCUUGCAGAAAGACCAAACCGUUGCUAACAAUCGAUGUACUGUAAACCUAAAAGUGAAUUUCCUCAAUGCCACUGAAAUUUAUAAUGAUCCCUGCAAUGCCAUCGAAAUUUUUGGCUUUCUUCAUUGCCAUUAGUUUAAAUUUGCAUUCCCUUCCUUGCCAUUGCCGUUAGCUUUCCGUUAGGAGAGAGUUAAGAGACGAGUAAAAUAAUGAUUUUGCCCUGGUCCAUCGUGCUCUGCGUCCUGCUCUUCAGAACGGCAGAACCGCCGUCCUCUCGUCGGUAAUGGCAGUGGCAGUGUCCUUGAGGAGGAGGUUCUCGGUCUUCGAGAGCAGCGCGCCCGAAGCUCUUGAAACACGUCCAUGGGCCAUGGACCGAGAAGCUCUCGAACGGGUGCUCCAGCAUGUAGGCAGGGCUCAGCCGCUGCUUGUCAUCGUCGGAGUCGCAGUCAGAGUAGCAGCACUCUGCGGCGACCUCCUGCCCCUCGACGUCAUCGGCCAUCUUGACGGCGCCCAGGUGGUCGGGCCGUCGGGGCAAGGGACGGUGCCGCCGUCACGGCUGGGUUGUUGGUGGAAGUUCAACUCGGUGUUCAGCAUAUAAAGCUGUGUACGACCUGAAGGUCUGCAAGGAUGACAUUGACCACACAAGCUUCUUUGCUAGUGCUUGUGCUUGUGCUCGCUUGUGCAAGAACUGGAGUUGCUUCCUCAAAAAGAAAAAGAAUGAAUGAAUGAAUCAAAGAAAGAAAGGAAGGAAGGAAGAAAAUAGAACUGCAGCGCGGCGGUUUCCGCGGGGCUGCCGCCCUGCCACAGAGAAUAUGAGCAGGAGUUGGAGCCUGGAGGAGCCCGCCGGCGUGCUGCUGCUUCUUGCUGCCCCCCGCGCUCAUCUUGACCGUCUCGUUCUUCUUGCUCGUGAGCCGUCGGAGGCUUGGAGCACGGGGCCACGGCGUCGUUGCCAGCGGGCGGCCAUCACAUCGCGGUGUCGUAGCCGUGCCGACUGUCGAGGAGGCGCGACGAGCACCGCACUCUCCUUUUCUCGAGUCCGCUGCUUCAAGAUCAUCUGCCGCUUCUUCAAGCUCCCCACCAGGAAGCGGUGGGGCGGCGGCCGUGGGAACAUAUUGCGAAAGCAAAGUCGCGAAAAUCAAAGUCGUCGGCGCAGCUAGGCUUAGAGCUUCACGGUGUUCAGCAGUGGGCACAUAUUGUAAGUGGAACAAACUUAACGACAAUGGCAUCGAAGGGAAUGGAAAUUUCAAAUAGUGGCAGUAAAGGGAGGUGAAGAAUUUCGAUGGCAUUGAGGGGAUAAUUUUUAGUGGCAUUGAGGGAAUUCACUUUAAAUCUAAAUAGAAAAUAAAGUCUUCUCAUGUUCCACCAUGGGGAUGAUUUGUCAGGCAUUCCCGCUUCUACUAGAGCAGCACCAUUCCAGCAUCAUCCGUCGGUGCUUCCUGCGCAUGGAAGUGAAGCGUUGUUGUCUUCAUUGCUUCCGCUCCAGCCUCCAGGUUCCAUUUGUCUUCUGACUUCUGGAGACCUGCCCAAAAUGAUAUGAAAGUAGAUGCUGAACACACAAUCUCGAUAGGAGAUUUUAUAUAGAGUAAAAUAUACAGGUGGUCCCUGAACUUGUCAUAGGGUAUCAAUUAGGUCCUUAAACUUUUGAAAUGCAUUUUUAGAUUCAUGAACUUGUCUUACCCAAUCAUUAAACUUAUUUUGUUUUGUUGCGGGGAAUAGAAGAAAAGAAGGGAGGGAAGAUUUUUUUUAUUUGUUUAUGGGGGGCCUCUUUUUCUCCUGAGCUGGCCCGCAUGCAGCGACGGCGUGGCGUGGCGGGGCGGGUGGGGACGGUAGGGUUGGCUGGUUGGGGUCGGCUGCGAGGGGGGAUGCGGGCGCGGGAGCUGUAGGAUGGGGAACGGAGGGUCCGGAUCGAGGGGAGCGCGGGCAGCAAGCACGGGGGCCAGAUCUGAGACCUGGUGCGUUCCGACGGCAGACAGAUCCGGCGAAGCAAUGCGACAACCGCCUGUAAGCAACCAAGAGGAGAAAACGCGACCGAGCAUGACCUGGAGAUACCGUUAGGAAUGUUCCGCGGAAAUGCUACGAAAGUUGUAAAAUUCCAUUGCCACGCAAGUACGUAUGUACUGUAAAAUUCCAUCGUUCUAUCACAUUCACUCAUGAGUACUACUGCCAUUCUUUAUCACAGAUUCACAGUUAACAUGCAUUGCAACUUAAAAGAUCAUGGUGCAGCAACAAGACGAUGUUGGCACAUGCAUGACAGAGAAACAGAUAACGUGGGCAAAUGUCAGAUUAACCACGCGGUACUGGACUCUUGGCACAGGUUCGUGAUAGACAAAGGCACUCAUAGUUCAGAGAUCAGUCUGGCAGCAGGUUACACAAUAUCCUUGAGCAAUGGUUUUCAGGCGACUCAUGCGCCUUGGGGUUCAGGGAUCAGUCCCACAUCAUGCUCACAAAGUCACAACCCUUGGGUGUUUGUUUCAAGGCGACUCACGCAUCGGAUAAAGAUAAGACUAACCCACGGAGUUUUUAUGUCAGAUAUCAGGCACCAUGAAUUCAGAACCCCUGCUUCGCCCUUUCCUCAUACCUGUUCUUCUCAACCUGAAAACAUGGCUCAGAACGUUAGUACCACAUACAGGUAUCAACAUGACAUCUUAAAGAUAGACACGGAUGUUCAGCAUUCAAAAGUUAUUUGAAUUAAACUUCCGAAGACAAGAAUCGGAGGACAGUGCUGAUGCAUAACCUUUUUAGCAUGGCACAGCCAACCUAAGCAGCUAGAUCCUAGCAUUGUCGCCUCAUGGUUUUGUACAAAGGCAAACAGUUACAGCCAGGCACAACACAAAACAUGCCAGGUAAUCAGCAAGAAUCCCUACUAGUAGCAGCAGGCAGGUCUUAUUAACAGGAAUAUCACCACUUUGCUAACGUUCUGAAGAUUAACUUGACAUCAGAAGUUCCAGCUGUCAACUACCCAUUCAAAUUCUCAUAGGCUGUUAUUUUAAAGAUUCAUUAGAAGGCAUAAGGCUGUUAUUUAGCAUUUUGUACCUAGCAGAAGAUGCAUAAAAAACAGAACAAAUAAGACAUGCCCCAUGGUCUCCUCUUCCUAGUAGUGUUUUUAAUGUAAUUAUGUGGUUCAACACUAAUUAGCAAAUGCAUGUUAGGACAUUGGUAUCACUUCUGCCAUCUACAUCCUGAAAAAUAUAAGACAAAUGAUUCUUCAAACAUAACAUGAACACUUCCCAAAUACUUUAAAAUGGCAACGAUGCAUCAUAUUUAUAUCAAACCAACCCUUUUCUACUUCCAUAUCAAUUACUCCCAAACAAAGUUUCCUCCCCACACACACUCUGACUUGCUGUGCAUCAUGACUUAGGGCAAACAAAAUUUCACGUAUAUACAAUUGCCAAAGUCCAUGCCAUGCAGCUGGGAAAAUAAGAUAAUACCAAAAUUUGCAUAGUGAAACCAGCAAAUAAUUUUUUUCUAGCAUUCCAAUAACUCAAUACUUAUACAUGAGUACAAUGGGGUGGUAAGGAAAUGAGAUAAUCCUUCCAAAAGACAAAGAAUGUCAGAAUGAAUAUGUAAAUUUUAUCUAAUCCAAGCACGUGCCUUAAGUAUGUGUCAUCACAUAGUAAAAUUUUGGCACUUCCAUGAUACUCUUAAUGGCAUUAUUGUUAAGAGGACAACAUGGUAUAGGAGCAUGCAAGGAAUGUAUAGGCCAAAAUGUUUAUUCAGUAUCUCAAACAAAUAAACUCUUCAGAGCAAUCUUGUGCUUGUGCAAACUCUUCAAAGUAAGAAAGGCAGUUGCAAAACAAGUUGCUGGCUACUUAUAGCAUGUAAACUACCAAAACAGGUAUCUAAACCCAAUGUCAUGGUCGCUUCCAAGUUCAGCAUUUCAAUCUCAACUGGGCAUUAAUAUUUUAUAUUUAUUAAGCUUGCCAGGUCAAACAAAAGCACAUCUGAAAUCCCAUAUCAAUGUAUCAAAGAACUUCCCAUCAAGAUGUAAUAGCAACAGAAGCAGGAGGCACUUUCUUUUAUAUAGUAUAAAUCAAGAUAAAUUGUUCCUUCUCAUUUUGUCCCUUACUAUUCCAUGGCACGACAGCAAAUUACUGGAAAAAUAAUUAACAGCUUGAGUGAACAUAUGAGGAACAGACCUCAAAAGCUUGCUUAAGGUACUCGAGCUCCUUGUCUAGGUCAUUGACAGCCUGGGUGUAGGCCUGUGUUGGGGACGACUGACUUGUGGUAUGGAUCUGUCCACACAAUAAAAAAUAAGAGAAAGCUGAAUGAACCUAAACUGAAGAAAAGAACUGAAAAAAAAAGCAUCUGUCAUAC